GACGAACGCUGGCGGCGUGCUUAACACAUGCAAGUCGAACGGAAAGGCCCUGCUUUUGUGGGGUGCUCGAGUGGCGAACGGGUGAGUAACACGUGAGUAACCUGCCCUUGACUUUGGGAUAACUUCAGGAAACUGGGGCUAAUACCGGAUAUGAGCUCCUGCUGCAUGGUGGGGGUUGGAAAGUUUCGGCGGUUGGGGAUGGACUCGCGGCUUAUCAGCUUGUUGGUGGGGUAGUGGCUUACCAAGGCUUUGACGGGUAGCCGGCCUGAGAGGGUUACCGGCCACAUUGGGACUGAGAGACGGCCCAGACUCCUACGGGAGGCAGCAGUGGGGAAUAUUGCACAAUGGGCGGAAGCCUGAUGCAGCAACGCCGCGUGCGGGAUGACGGCCUUCGGGUUGUAAACCGCUUUCGCCUGUGACGAAGCGUGAGUGACGGUAAUGGGUAAAGAAGCACCGGCUAACUACGUG
rnacentral:rRNA from 1 species